GAAUUCCCACGAGUGGGGUCCGGGGAAGAUAGGAUGUAUGCGGCCUUACCCCUACCUUGGAAAGGCAGAGAGGCUGUUUACAAUAAAAACUGUUUCAUGAACGUCACCUUAAAUUCUGCUAAUUUAUUGAACUUUUAAUCAAUGCAUUCAUUGAACAUAUGCAUAGUUGUAAAGUCCACUGAAAUUUUGGCAUAUCAUAAACAAAGAAAUCAUUCAUAACUGUACACCUAAUUGGUUAAUUACCAGACAGGAACAUGUUACAAGGAGAAAAGGAAAGAAAAAACAACCCAGUGACCUUGUGCAUUGGUUGGAGAAGUUCUUGGUAGGAAACAUUUUACCCCUUAAUUAGUGGACCUACUAAUCUGGAUUAGUCGAGCCAGUAAGAUUCUUUUACCAAAAAAAGAAAAAAACUAAAAAGAGGAACAGCUGCUAUACUAAACUUGUUGUGCAGCAUGUGGAGAAUAAGUAAUAGGCUUUGCAAAAUACAAAGUUUUAUCAUUUCCAGGAAAGAAUACCACAAUUUUAGGCUCCGGAUCUAGGGGAUGUAGUGAAUACCUUUUCUUUUCCUCAUUAUUAUCUGUGUCUAUCAAAUGCUCUGAUGAAUUGGAAUUUUGGCGACAGCAAAAGAGAUAGAUUAAUGCAAAUGCAAUGGUCGCGAAAACGACGCCAAGACCACAAUACAGUGUGCUGAGGUGAAGACAUGACAGGCAUUGCUAAGCAGGUCGGAGUUCGGUCCCCAGGCAUGAUCACAACCAUACUAUGAUCUUGUUGAUCAGCUGGUGUAGUUGAUGGCUGUUCAGGUCGCUUUUCUGUGCUUUGCCUUUGUAAAUCUGAUGAAAAUUCUUCCCGUUUAGAGCAGCAGCAUUUGAGCACGCAUAAAAAAACCACGAACCCGAAGAAAACCAUAAGGCAACCAUUGGCUAUGUGGGCCGUUUUGGUAUAUGGUGCAGAGGUAAUUUCUUCAGUAUAGGCCAUAGAUACGUUAAAAUUGUUUGUUGAAUUCUGUUAAGUGUAAGCAAGGACUAUUAACUUUUUAAGUAGCUGAUUUAAAUGCCAAAAAAUGCUGAAAAAAAUAGCAGAUGUUAUAGAAUCUUGUAAUAUUGAAGUGCAAGUUUAAUUUGGAAAGGAAAAGACAAUGGGACUUUUUCCAAGAAGGGUGGAAUCCUGGAAUUAUUAGGCAGAA